GUCAAAUUCAUCACUUCAUGACCAGCUGUGCCAAGUUCAAAGGCCUCUGUCAGCAAGGUUGGGCGAAAGAAAGGGAAAGCCAUUUUUCAGCUGCAAGCGUGCAGUUCCCAGCAGCACAGAAGAACCUCAAGAAGGGCACAGAAAGUUUUCGGUACUGAACGGCUGGAGCACGACAACGUGGCGAUGGUGUUAGGCCACUGGACAAAUUGCUGCAUAACUCAAUGGCUCUUCGCUUCCUCCAAACAUCGGCACUCCGUGAUGAUGUCAUCAGAGAGUGGCUUCCACUUGUUUGUAAACAAGCAAGUGGGAGGCGUCAUUGGCAAUGCCUUCAAGAAUGUGGCCGACUGUCAGAUUCAAGCAUGUGGUUGUCAACUUGUUGGCACAAAGCUGAAACAUUUUGAAUGUACAUCAUGUAUAACUCCAGUAACCUAGCUUUCUGGGUGAGUUGGUUCAUAGUAAUAGAAAGAAGAAACUAGAGAAAAACUUCAAUAAACUUUUAGUUGUAAGUC